rnacentral:rRNA from 1 species
UGGGGAAUAUUGGACAAUGGGCGCAAGCCUGAUCCAGCCAUGCCGCGUGGGUGAUGAAGGCCUUAGGGUUGUAAAGCCCUUUCGGCGGGGAAGAUAAUGACGGUACCCGCAGAAGAAGCCCCGGCUAACUUCGUGCCAGCAGCCGCGGUAAUACGAAGGGGGCUAGCGUUGCUCGGAAUUACUGGGCGUAAAGCGCACGUAGGCGGAUUCUUAAGUCGGGGGUGAAAUCCUGGAGCUCAACUCCAGAACUGCCUUCGAUACUGAGAGUCUUGAGUUCGGGAGAGGUGAGUGGAACUGCGAGUGUAGAGGUGAAAUUCGUAGAUAUUCGCAAGAACACCAGUGGCGAAGGCGGCUCACUGGCCCGGUACUGACGCUGAGGCGCGAAAGCUAGGGGAGCAAACGGGAUUAGAUACCCCGGUAGUCCUAGCUGUAAACGAUGAGUGCUGGGUGUAGGGGGUAUUAACCCCCCCUGUGCCGAAGCUAACGCAUUAAGCACUCCGCCUGGGGAGUACGGUCGCAAGGCUG